rnacentral:lncRNA from 1 species
CUGUGUUGCCAGAGGCUUACUUGAGGGUGGAAGUCAGCCAGGACCCCAUUCUGCUAGAAGUGUCCUUAGCUAAGUGGAACUGAUGAUUUCAGCUAAGGGAACACCAAGAUACUGUUCUGAACCCCGGGGGGAGGAGUGUUUCCAGAAGGAAGGGUUCCUGGGGGCUCGGUUCUGAUCCCAGCUAAGAAUGGGGACCCAGUCCCCACCUGAGGAAGGGGGAAUUUUCCCAUCCUAUUUCUUAACCUCACCUACCAAAAGCCAGGUUUUCUGCCUCCAUACCCAUUCCCCUGUCUGGCUUGGCCCCUCUACUCCCAGGGGACACUUCCUUACUCCAGAGAGCCACAGGGAGAGCAGAACUCUGGUUCCCAUAGCAACAUGGCCAGGUUCACAAGGCAACAAGGUCUUGCCUUUGCAGUCAGCUCCAUUAUAACUGUCAGUGGCCAAGGCAAUUUUAGGUCAGCCUACGAGGUUAAUUUGCAGCUUUCUCAACACAGAAGCCCCCAGCAUGGAAGAAAAGCUGAAGCCUAUGAUACGGCAGGCGUGAUGUUGAGGAGGAAAGCCUGGUGCAGAUCCUCACCGUAUUCAGGCAACAGGAAAAAGCCCACCCAUCCUGCCAUGUGGGGCUGUGGGGCUCAACCUUGAUGAGGAAUGAAUCGACAAAGAAGUAUCAUGAGAAAAGGCCAGAAGGUGAGGCGAGAGCAUAAAGAUUUUAAUCCUCUUGCCACCAUUUUCAGGGAUUCAUUUAUCCACUAAAUAUGAAGUUGCUGCUGUGUGCUUGGCAUUGUCCCAGGUGUGAGGGUGAGUGAAGCAGAGAGACAUGAGCCCUGCCCUCACAGAGUUUAUCAUCUACUGGGAGAAAAAGGCAAAUAGUGGCUUAGCUAUAAAUUGCCAUAUAAUAAAUUACCCAUGACUUGCUUCA